UGGCUCAGUUGGUAGAGCAUGGAGUUUGCAACGCCAGCAUGGUGUGUGCAACGCCAGGGUUGUGGGUUCGAUUCCCAC
rnacentral:tRNA from 1 species